AUACUAGUAUGGUAUACAGGUGAAUGGUAGUGUACGUUCACUGAAUGUGACCAAUUGAUGGACUCUCUCCUGUCAAGAGUUGUUCCGAGUGGAUAUGGGUAUAUGUAUCCUUUAGACCUGAUAUUGCAAUCGGUAGCUUGCAAGCAACUCACUAUACUUUGGUGCCGGACUACCUGGAUUUCUAAUCCAGCGAUGGAAGGUUUCUGGGUCCAGUCAAGUACUUGUGGUAGUUAGUUGCAGAUCAAGAUGGGAUUGACCUCCCUUAGAAAUAAGGGUGAAUGCCUUGUGUUUUCAAUUAAGUAGUACCCUAGCCAGAAAAAGUCAAAUCACUAUCACUUGACUUAUUGAAUUAAAACAUAUUUCUGGAUGGAUCGUUGCAGGGUAGACAGACUCUGAACCCACCCUGAGCAUUUUCU
rnacentral:lncRNA from 1 species